rnacentral:rRNA from 1 species
GACGAACGCUGGCGGCGUGCCUAAUACAUGCAAGUCGAGCGGACUUUUGGGAGCUUGCUCCCAAAAGUUAGCGGCGGACGGGUGAGUAACACGUGGGCAACCUGCCUAUAAGACUGGGAUAACUUCGGGAAACCGGAGCUAAUACCGGAUAAUUCCUUUCCUCUCAUGAGGGAAGGCUGAAAGCCGGUUUCGUCUGUCACUUAUAGAUGGGCCCGCGGCGCAUUAGCUAGUUGGUGAGGUAACGGCUCACCAAGGCGACGAUGCGUAGCCGACCUGAGAGGGUGAUCGGCCACACUGGGACUGAGACACGGCCCAGACUCCUACGGGAGGCAGCAGUAGGGAAUCUUCCGCAAUGGACGGAAGUCUGACGGAGCAACGCCGCGUGAGUGAUGAAGGUUUUCGGAUCGUAAAACUCUGUUGUUAGGGAAGAACAAGUACGAGAGUAACUGCUCGUACCUUGACGGUACCUAACCAGAAAGCCACGGCUAACUACUUGCCAGCCGCCGCCGUAA